GUGUUCGUAGUGUAGUGGUCUGGCAUACGACUUUGUGACAGUCGUGGUGAGGGGUUCGAUUCCCCCCGGACACC
rnacentral:tRNA from 1 species